CUCUGUGACUCCUACGGGAGGCAGCAGUGGGGAAUAUUGCACAAUGGGGGAAACCCUGAUGCAGCCAUGCCGCGUGUGUGAAGAAGGCCUCGGGUUGUAAAGCACUUUCAGUAGGGAGGAAGGUAGUGUAGUUAACACCUGCAUUAUUUGACGUUACCUACAGAAGAAGCACCGGCUAACUCCGUGCCAGCAGCCGCGGUAAUACGGAGGGUGCGAGCGUUAAUCGGAAUUACUGGGCGUAAAGCGCAUGCAGGCGGCCUGUUAAGUCAGAUGUGAAAGCCCGGGGCUUAACCUCGGAAUUGCAUUUGAAACUGGCAGGCUAGAGUCUUGUAGAGGGGGUAGAAUUUCAGGUGUAGCGGUGAAAUGCGUAGAGAUCUGAAGGAAUACCAGUGGCGAAGGCGGCCCCCUGGACAAAGACUGACGCUCAGAUGCGAAAGCGUGGGGAGCAAACAGGAUUAGAUACCCUGGUAG
rnacentral:rRNA from 1 species